CUCCAGUUGUGUUAUCGGAGGAUUUUGUUUUUGAUGUACUGGCAGAGGCAGAACGGGGCGGUGGUGCAGUGAUUCCUCCGGGAUCGUAGACGGUGGUUGGACGGCCCCGACAGCCUCUCAGACACCAGCAGCUUCACGUAACGAUGCAUCAGGGACAAGGCUGUAGCUGGCUGGGAUUUUGGCGUCCUCCCGCUGGUUGGAUGAGGACCUGGAGUCCAUGUCCUCGUUCCCCAGCAGAGGCCUCUGUUCAUCUGACUCAACGUCCUCCGAGUCGACAGCCGUGACCUCGGUAACGAGGACGAGAUGGGACAUUUUCCUCUUCAGCUUCUUCUGGUGAAAGGAGGACUUAACAUGGGAACACAAGACAAAUCAAUAAUGCAGCAGCGGCGGGACAAACCGAGCGACAGAUGUACUCGACUCACUCACCUGGGUGGCGUUCAUUGCAAAGCCGCCCUCCUCUAAAGUUUC